GACGAAGGAUGCAAGCGUUAUCCGGAUUCAUUGGGUUUAAAGGGAGCGUAGGUGGACUUGUAAGUCAGUGGUGAAAUCUUUGGGCUUAACCCAGAAACUGCCAUUGAUACUGCAGGUCUAGAGUACAGUUGCCAUUGGCGGAAUAUGACAUGUAGUGGUGAAAUACUUAGAUAUGUCAUAGAACACCGAUUGCGAAGGCAGCUAACGAAGCUGUAACUGACACUGAGGCUCGAAAGUGCGGGGAUCAAACAGG
rnacentral:rRNA from 1 species